AUUGAACGCUGGCGGCAGGCCUAACACAUGCAAGUCGAGCGGAUGAAGGGAGCUUGCUCCUGGAUUCAGCGGCGGACGGGUGAGUAAUGCCUAGGAAUCUGCCCGGUAGUGGGGGAUAACGUCCGGAAACGGGCGCUAAUACCGCAUACGUCCUGAGGGAGAAAGUGGGGGAUCUUCGGACCUCACGCUAUCAGAUGAGCCUAGGUCGGAUUAGCUAGUUGGUGGGGUAAAGGCCUACCAAGGCGACGAUCCGUAACUGGUCUGAGAGGAUGAUCAGUCACACUGGAACUGAGACACGGUCCAGACUCCUACGGGAGGCAGCAGUGGGGAAUAUCGGACAAUGGGCGAAAGCCUGAUCCAGCCAUGCCGCGUGUGUGAAGAAGGUCUUCGGAUUGUAAAGCACUUUAAGUUGGGAGGAAGGGCAGUAAGUUAAUACCUUGCUGUUUUGACGUUACCAACAGAAUAAGCACCGGCUAACUUCGUG
rnacentral:rRNA from 1 species